GUAAGGAAUAUUGGUCAAUGGACGAAAGUCUGAACCAGCCAUGCCGCGUGGAGGAUGAAGGUCCUCUGGAUUGUAAACUUCUUUUAUAUGGGACGAAAAAGGGCUUUUCUAAGUCAACUGACGGUACCAUAUGAAUAAGCACCGGCUAACUCCGUGCCAGCAGCCGCGGUAAUACGGAGGGUGCAAGCGUUAUCCGGAUUCACUGGGUUUAAAGGGAGCGUAGGUGGGUUGGUAAGUCAGUGGUGAAAUCUCCGGGCUUAACUCGGAAACUGCCAUUGAUACUAUCAGUCUUGAAUACCGUGGAGGUCAGCGGAAUAUGUCAUGUAGCGGUGAAAUGCUUAGAUAUGACAUAGAACACCAAUUGCGAAGGCAGCUGGCUACACGAAUAUUGACACUCAGGCUCGAAAGCGUGGGGAUCAAACAGGAUUAGAAACCCCUGUAGUCC
rnacentral:rRNA from 1 species